CAACCAUGCUUGUGUGUAAAAUGGAGUUGGAUUCCAGGCUUAGAUCGUUUUACAGGUCUUUUCAUCUUUGUCAGUGUCCAGUGGGACAUUUGGAAGCGGCAGAGAGGACAUUCUCGGACCGAAGACUGCUUCGCCUAGAACAGCCCCUGAGAGGGAGAUGGAAGGCACGGUUACUGGGGAAGAGCAGGACACCUCCGCAGAGAACGGGGACCGGUACAGGGCCCGGAAUGGGUGCUCUCACACCAGGGACCACAGUGGGAAGCUGCAGCUGAAAUCCAUGGCGCAGUGGGGAUCCAUUCUGGGUUCCCUCACCGGAGGAGCGAGAGAGAGAUGGGGAAGCUGAGGAAUAAAGAAGAGAAGAAAUGUAUCCACCAUCAUCCAGCCAAGAAGUAGUAGAGUUGGAAUCUAUGUGCUCAACUGCUGAGCAGAGCUGAGAAUCCCUGUGCUGAACUACUCCUUAAAACUGUGUCUUUCACACAUACAAACCAUCGACCUCCGCAGCUUCUCUGAGGCACAGUUAUACACACUGGCGAAUAAUGACACCGUGUUCAGUAACAGGCUGUUAAUAGGACAGUGGCUCUGAGUGGCUUAGAUGUGUAGUAGACAACACCGUCUAGGUUUAUGUAAGUACACCUGUGAUGUUUGCGUGACGGUGAAAUCACCUAAUGACAGUUCCCAGAGCUCAUGCUGCCACAGCUGUACACAGAUUUCUGUCUUCUCUCCUUAGAGGAGGAUGCACCUUCAAGCAUGUGGGGCUGGAUUUUGCAUAUCUUUCUCUCUUCCCCUAUAUAAACGUGACUUUCCAUUUUACAAUAAAGACUUCA